AACGAACGCUGGCGGCAUGCCUAACACAUGCAAGUCGAACGAGACCUUCGGGUCUAGUGGCGUACGGGUGCGUAACGCGUGGGAACCUGCCCUUAGGUUCGGAAUAACUCCCCGAAAGGGGUGCUAAUACCGGAUAAUGUCUUCGGACCAAAGAUUUAUCGCAUUUGGAUGGGCCCGCGUUGGAUUAGCUAGUUGGUAGGGUAAAAGCCUACCAAGGCGACGAUCCAUAGCUGGUCUGAGAGGAUGAUCAGCGACACUGGGACUGAGACACGGCCCAGACUCCUACGGGAGGCAGCAGUGGGGAAUAUUGGACAAUGGGCGAAGGCCUGAUCCAGCAAGGCCGCGUGAGUGAUGAAGGCCUUAGGGUUGUAAAGCUCUUUUACCCGGGAUGAUAAUGACGGUACCGGGAGAAUAAGCUCCGGCUAACUCCGUG
rnacentral:rRNA from 1 species